rnacentral:rRNA from 1 species
GGCUCAUAGGCGAGCCUGAUGGAGCACGCCGCGUGUGUGAUGAAGGGUUUCGGCUCGUAAAACACUGUUGUAAGAGAAGAAUGACAUUGAGAGUAACUGUUCAAUGUGUGACGGUAUCUUACCAGAAAGGAACGGCUAAAUACGUGCCAGCAGCCGCGGUAAAU